AUCUGGGCGGCGGAAUUCAGGAUGGCUGGCGUGCUCUCGCGCGUCGGUCGUUUGAUAUUUCCGUCGCCAACUAACCGCAGACGUCGCGACCUGUUCGCGGUCGGUCCCUGCUCGGAGGAGCCGCGUUCGAGCUCGUUGUGUGCGCGUUUCGGCGUGUCACACGGCGAAGGCGCGGAUCUCUGGCUGGCCGUCGGACAGUAUGCUUAACGGUGUCCGGUGUCGUCGUCUCGUACGCGCGGCAUCGGUACCGGUCAGCGACGAAUUCUUCGGGCCUCUUUCCGACCCGUCUUGAAACACGGACCAAGGAGUCUAACAUGCGCGCGAGUCGCGGGGUAUCGAGCGUACUUCGGUGCGUUCGUUAUGUUGCGAAACCCGUACAUGUUGAAGGCGUAAUGAAAGUGAAUGGGGAAGAUGGUGUUCCGAGUACACGUUCCGCGAUCGUCGGUAUCGCGGCCGGGCACCCGCAUUCCCAGGGCGUCUCAACGGCCCGUCGUUGAUGCGGACAGUCGUCUCUCGGGGCGGCUGUCGGUCGGCGACGAACCGA
rnacentral:rRNA from 1 species